rnacentral:rRNA from 1 species
AUGCCUGCGGGUGUUAAUGACACGACAAUCGUAUUGAUUCCAAAAGCCCCUAUGCCUAUGGAUCUAAAGGACUUUCGUCCUAUUAGUCUACGCAAUGUAACUUACAAAGUGGUUUCUAAGUGCAUGGUGAACAGACUAUGUCCGUUGUUGUCAGAAUUAAUCUCAGAGAACCAAAGUGCCUUCAUCCCAGGGCGCUUGAUCACUGACAACACUAUAAUUGCUUUCGAAUGCAUUCAUCACAUCCAGUCGGUACGUCAGGAUCAAUCUUAUUGUGCAUACAAAUUAGAUCUAUCCAAGGCCUACGACCGUGUCGACUGGGAUUUCUUGGAGAAGGCCCUCAUAAAAUGGGGAUUCUUGGCAAAUUGGGUGGAUCGAAUCAUGGUAUGCAUUCGGUCAGUCAGAUAUUCGGUUAAGUUCAAUUGGAAAUUGUUAAAUAAGUUCUCUCCAACCCGUGGGCUGCGCCAAGGUGAUCCAUUGUCCCCUUUUUAUUCCUUUUUGUCGCUGAUGCUUUAUCUGCAUUGUUGCAUAAAUCCACUCGGGAUGACAGGUUGGAGGCCUUAA